GAGGAUUGCCCCUCGUGGGCGUUUCCUCCCUAGACUUCGGGCCGCUCUCACCAGAUCGGCCUCUUUUCUUAGGGGG
rnacentral:sRNA from 1 species